ensembl:misc_RNA Metazoa_SRP Metazoan signal recognition particle RNA
GCCGGGCGUGGUGGCUCACGCCUGUAAUCCCAGCACUUUGGGAGGCUGAGGCGGGUGGAUCACCUGAGGUCAGGAGUUCGAGACCAGCCUGACCAACAUGGUGAAACCCCAUCUCUA